rnacentral:vault_RNA from 1 species
GGGCUGGCUUUAGCCCAGCAGUUCUUUCGAGUCUGGCUUCCCAACUGCCCGCAGGCGCUCUCCAGUCCUUUA